GAUGAAGAACGUAGUGAAAUGCGAUACGUAAUGUGAAUUGCAGAAUUUCUGAAUCAUCGAAUCUUUGAACGCACCUUGCGCUCUGUGGUUAUUCCGCAGAGCAUGUUUGUUUGAGUGUCGCGAUACUUCUCAACCCCGCUUCAUUAACUUGAAGUAGUUUGGGCUUGGAUCAUGGUCGUUGCCGGCAUUAGCCAGGCUCGAUUGAAAUACAACAAGCUGGAUGAUGCUAUUAGCGGCUUGAACCUAACGUUGUAAUUACUUAUUCGUUAGGCUACGCUUUCAGUGUUCAAUGAGCUUACCAAUUGAUUAAGAACUUUACUGUUCAAUUUGACCUCAAAUCAAGCAGGACUACCCGCUGAACUUAAGCAUAUCAAUAAGCGGAGGA
rnacentral:misc_RNA from 1 species